rnacentral:rRNA from 1 species
UACGUAGGGGGCUAGCGUUGCCCGGAAUCACUGGGCGUAAAGCGCGCGUAGGCGGCUUGUUAAGUCAGGGGUGAAAUCCUGGAGCUCAACUCCAGAACUGCCUUUGAUACUGGCGAUCUCGAGUCCGGGAGAGGUGAGUGGAACUGCGAGUGUAGAGGUGAAAUUCGUAGAUAUUCGCAAGAACACCAGUGGCGAAGGCGGCUCACUGGCCCGGUACUGACGCUGAGGUGCGAAAGCGUGGGGAGCAAACAGG